GACGUAGGGCGCGAGCGUUGUCCGGAUUUAUUGGGCGUAAAGAGCGUGUAGGCGGCUGGGUAGGUCCGUUGUGAAAACUCGAGGCUCAACCUCGGGCUUGCAGUGGAUACGGGCAGACUAGAGUGCGGUAGGGGAGACUGGAAUUCCUGGUGUAGCGGUGGAAUGCGCAGAUAUCAGGAGGAACACCGAUGGCGAAGGCAGGUCUCUGGGCCGCAACUGACGCUGAGGAGCGAAAGCAUGGGGAGCGAACAGG
rnacentral:rRNA from 1 species